CAGGAUCGGGGCAUUCCAAUUAUCUAGAUAUGCUUUGACUUACUUUCCUACUUACACCAGCCAUUGAUGAAUCUAAAUCCAAAUGAAGAAGAUUCAAAUUCUAGAAUCAUUUAGCAGGACAUUUUACCUAGAAAUAGAAGGAAAAAUAUCAUCCCUACGACUUUGUAUGACUUUGUUGUAUCUCCCACAAAUCACAUUGUGGAAUUUUUA
rnacentral:lncRNA from 1 species